GAUGAACGCUGGCGGCGUGCCUAACACAUGCAAGUCGAGCGAACGGACGAGAAGUUUUCUUCUAUGAUGUUGUCGCCGGACGGAUGAGUAACACGUGGAUAACCUACCUAUAAGACUGGGAUACUUUCGGGAAACCAUGUCUAAUAACGGAAAAUAUUUUGCACCUCAUGGUUCCAGAGUUAAAGACGGUCUUUCUUACACUAAUAGAUGAAUACGCGGUUCAUUAGUUAGUUGUUAAGGUAACGGCUUACCAAGGCAACGAUGCAUAGACGACCUGAGAGGGUGAUCGGCUACACUGGAAGUGAGACACGGUCCAGACUCCUAGGGGAGGCAGCGGUAGGGAAUCUUACGCAAGGGGCGAAAGCCGGACGGAGCAACGCGGCGGGAGGGAUGAAGGUCUUCUGAUCGGAAAACUCUGUUAGUAGGGAAGAACAUAUGUGUAAGUAACUGUGCAGAUCUUGACGGUACCGGAUCAGAAAGCCACGGCUAACUACGUG
rnacentral:rRNA from 1 species